GCUGGGCGCAGUGACGCACGCCUGUCAUCCCAGCAGCUUGGGAGGCUGAGGCAGGAGGAUCACAGGUUCCAGCCAGCCUCAGCAACUUGGAGAGACCCUGUCUCAG
rnacentral:sRNA from 1 species